UAAAACAUUUCCUGACAAAGAAACAAACUCACCUAACCUGAUGGUGAGUACAUUUUCAGCAAAUAUAAAUUUUUGAGUGUACUAUUCCUUUAAUACAGCAGUUAAGAUGAACUAACAAUUUUAGUAGUAUUAGAUUUAAUUUCCUACAAAAUCUCAUUUAUUUUUUUAAUAUUUAAAGUUUUAUUCAUGAACUCGGGGUGGUCAAUGCAAGUGUAUUUAUAAAUGAACAUAACCAAAGCUAUGAAGUCAUAUCGAAAAGUUCAAUGUUUGUUUUGUACAGGAAAAAAAGAUGUGACAAUGAUUAGGAUAGUUUUACUCUGUAAAAACCCCAAAGCAGCUUAUGUAUCAUAUAACAUAAAUGUUUGACAAUAAGAAUUUCAUACAUUUUCUAAAGUGGGAUUUCUUCUGCUUAAACUUUCUCACGGAAUGCAGUGAAAUGUUAUUAUUCAUGCCACUAUGGUAAAAGCACACAUGGAUCUAUGUAUUUCUAUGGAAUUUGUAGCUUGCUUUAUUUUAUAAAUAAUGUAGCACCAAAAAAUGAUUUUUUUUAAGUAAUGCAAAAGAUUUACUUAAUUAAAUACAUGUUUUUUUUUUCUUUCCAGAAUUACAGUACAGUGUAAACCUGAUCAGCGAGCACCCUACCAGGAUCCAGACAUACAUUUCCUCAGCUCUGAUAAAGACCCCCUGGAGACCGGAGUCUCCUGUUUACAGUUGUCCAUGUGAUCCUCUGGCAUGUCUAGUGGCAUAUUGGGAACCUUCUUAAUCUGGAGCAGAACAAAUCCAAGCAUGAGCACCUAUCUUCCUCACUGCACAACUUAUGAUGGAUAGAAGGCCUUAAUGAGCUUCUUACAAGCAAUUAAAUAAUCAGGGAGCCCUGCUGUUUGCCGAUGAGACUUUAGAGCGCACUGACAAACGGUGGGCCAUCAGCGCUCCAAUCAACAGGACACGGCACUCAGUGCUGUCACCAAUGCUAUUUUAAACAAUGACUCUCUGCACUGCCGAGAAAACACUCAUAGGAAUCAUGUUCACAGGAGUGGGAAUGUUUUGUACAGGCAUUUAACUCAGUGUUUUGCAAACUGUAUCUUUCUUGGCCGUACAGAUGCACUGUUACAGUUUUGUGUGGCUGGCGUUAGUAUGUUAUUAAUUUGACCGUAGUUAAAUGAAUAGUUCACCCCCAAAAUGAAAAUUAUUUUGUUAAUUAAUAGUUAACACACCUGUAUGCUGUUAUUUUAUUCAUGGAACCCAAUAAGGGAAAUUUUGUAGAAUCUUCCCACCAAUCGUUUCCAACAACAAUUGGUGACAAUGAGAUUUGAGAAGGGAAUAUUGUCUGUGUGUAACUUAAAUUUCAGCUUUAAGUUUCCAACACAAAUCAAUCAUAUGGCUUUCAAAUUUUUAAAGUUCCACGGACUACAUUUUUUUACUUUUAUAGUAUUUGU